UACGUAGGGCGCAAGCGUUAUCCGGAAUUAUUGGGCGUAAAAGAGCUCGUAGGCGGUUUGUCGCGUCUGCCGUGAAAGUCCGGGGCUCAACUCCGGAUCUGCGGUGGGUACGGGGCAGACUAGAGUGAUGUAGGGGGAGACUGGAAUUCCUGGUGUAGCGGUGAAAAUGCGCAGAUAUCAGGAGGAACACCGAUGGCGAAGGCAGGUCUCUGGGCAUUAACUGACGCUGAGGAGCGAAAGCAUGGGGAGCGAACAGG
rnacentral:rRNA from 1 species